GCCUCGGUAGUAUAAUUGAUCAGCAUGGCAAACUGGAUAUCUGUAGGUGUGGGUUCGAAUCCCGCCUGAGGUU
rnacentral:tRNA from 1 species